rnacentral:lncRNA from 1 species
UUUUUUUUUUCUUUUUUUAAGAAAGUACAUUUUUAACUACUACACUUUCUCCAUGUAAUGAGAUCACACAAUGAAAUGACUGGUCAUCCUAUAUCCACGACAGAAAAUGCAAGUAGCAGGAACUAGAAAGGGAAAAAAAAUAAGGAAAGAAAGAAAAUGUGGAAAUUUAGCAUUGUGGCAAAAGACUGUACAUAAAACUAUCCUCAGCUCAUCUGUGCUCUUCCACCCAUCAGUCUCUUUAUUUUAAAAGCUCUCUUAGCAACCUCCUCUAACCCAGCCUUCACUUAACCAACCACCCCAAAGAGCCAAUGCUCUUCAGUCCCUCCACAAAGCAUACUGAGUGAUGCUCCCUGAACCCCAGGGAGGCUAUCUCCAGGUUGCCUGUUGCUCCUGUAUUCCCACCAGCUGAGUCGUGUGCCCCUAAAAGCCAACUAUGUUUGAUCCCAGACCUGUUUAUGCCAGUUCUAUUUGUUGUUGUUAAUUGUAUAAUUGAAUUAAAUAUUAUGUAAACCCCAGAAAUUUGAGAGCAAAAAAGCAAGAAUGAUCGUAACUAUGGAAACCAAGUUAAAUGCUUUAGAAAGAUCUGGUAAAGGCAAGUAACUAAAAAUAUUUCUGUCAAGAAUGAGUAAAGAAUUGGAGAAAAUCUUGAAAUUCUAGAAUUCUUCACUCAAACUGCUUCACAAGAGCCUUUGCACACUUUCCCCAGUGAAGAGGAUGAAACUGCAAAGCAUGGAGGAAGCAAAGUGCAGCAAAAGCAAGAAAGUCCCUAAGGAACUCCAAUGAGCAGACACAGACUCAGAGAGAAGAUUGCAGUCUUAUCCACAAAGGCUGUGGGUGUGCACAGAAAUUUAAUCCUCUUUUUUAUGACUCUGUUUUAACUGACUCUUUACAUUUAAAGCCCCAAUAAUAAAACAUUUUUAAAAAACCUUUCUGCUUUUAUUCCAAAAAAUACAAGUCUCAGAAACCAGGAGGAAGACUUAAAAAACAAACUCGUUCAAAAACUUGAAGAUCUUUUUAGAAAAACAUCCAACAUCUUCAAUAAUAUGCAAAAAAGCUGCCUGAACAAGUAAUGCAAUAAAGAGAGAAAGAUUUUUAUCUCAGCAUUUGUAAACAUAUACAGAAAUAGCAGGCCCUGGGCGCCUCCUGCAGCUCAGGGCGUGAUCCUGGGGUCCUGGGAUCGAGCCCCACGGGGAGCCUGCUUCUCCCUCUGCCUAUGUCUCUGCCUCUCUCUCUGUGUAUCUCAUGAGUGAAUAAAUAAAAUCUUUAAAAAAGAAAGAAAGAAAGAAAGAAAGAAAGAAAGAAAGAAAGAAAGAAAGAAAGAAAGAAACCAAAUUGAAAAGAACUUGAAUGAAACACAAAGACAAAAAUAAAAAUUAAGGGAAAGCGUAGUAAACAAGGAACAAGAGAAAGGCAUGAAACUAAAACCACACUGGACAUUUGGUGAAAUGAAAAACAUGAGAAAAUUAACCCGCAGUUAAACUUGGGUUUUGAGAAAUUACCUCCUGACAUGAGAAACUGCUCACAACAUGAUUUUUAGGUAUUUUACUCUAUCCAUAAUUUUAGGAAAAGUAAUAUAUACACAUGGUACAACAUUCAGAGACAGCAAAUGAGUAAAUACUGAAGCACAAGUCUCCCUGACAUCCUUUUCCUUCAGCCACCCAUUCUGUCCCCAGAGGCACCUGCUACCUGCUGUCUCCUCCUAGGGACAGUCCAGGCAUACAAGUGUAGACGUACAUAAAUAAUAAUAUAAUCUUAAACAUAAACCUUAGGAUAGACAGAUACAGAUAUUUCUAACACAUCUAUGCAGAGGUCCUCCAGGAAGUCUCAGUGCAGUGUUACAAAAUUACCUCACAAUUCCACAGGUACCAUUUUUGGGAAAUGAAUUCCAUCCAAAGUCAUAUUUUCACAGCGUAAAAAUAGGAACGGGAGAAAUAAUGGCGCUACUUCUCAAGACCGAGUCCAACCGGAGGUCUCCAGAGACCAUUUACGUUAAAUACCGAGCUGGCCAGAUGACAGGUCUCAUAUGCUAUGGCAAUUCACGUCUUCCGGUCGCCAUGCCCUUUGUAAAAACCGCCAUACCACACACACAAGGUGGCAAUCGGUGUGGGAAUUCGUAAGGACAAAGCAAGCAGGAACACAAGGGAGAGGAGACCUCCAAGGGUCUCAUACCUCAGGCUCUUCUGGUGCAAGGCCAAACUGCAUCACCUCCAGAGGCUUUGGAAUCGGAUUAGUCGCCAUGUUCAGAAGAGACCCUCCUCUUGGACAAAUUCACCUUACGGUAACUCAUAAGCUCUACAUGUGUGCGUGUGUGGGUGCACAUACGUGCAAACACAUACACUUACGGAGCGCCAAAGUGUUCGUGCACAGGGAGAGCCUUAAACAUCAGGCACAGAGGCCAGCGCAUUUUCCUCCUGUGGGCACCACCCAUGAAAAUCAAGUAAGAGAACUAUGGAAAAACUGCCAUUUCUGCCUGUCCAAAUCCAUUCCUCUUGAUUCUGAUUACAGAUUUUUUUUACUUCUGAGAAUUAUUCAUUCCCCCAUCAAAGGAACCUAUGAUUUAGACGGUUGGGUGGGUGCAUGUCCCAGAGCUGAAACUACCCUCGUAGUUGACAGGAUUAUUAAAUUGGUGAGAAUAUGAGCAGGGAGAUGCAGAAAGCACAGCACAUACCCCCCCCCCCCAAGAAGAGAGAGCUAGACUGAAAAUGAAGCCAAACAGGGGAGCAGAACCAAGAGAUGGAGAGAGACAUUGCUUGAUAACACCAUUUAACAUUGAAGUCACCCACGCCUGAGACCAGGAUACACACUGAACUUUUCAUUUUUGACAGACAACAAACUCCUUUCUUAACCUGCUUUGAGGUGAGAUUCUAUCUCUUGCAAACAAAAAGAAGCCCUGAUUAAUACAGAAGUGUUUUCACGGAGAAAAUGGAAGUGUACUAAGGAAAGUUUAUAAUAUGAUUUGAUUGUUUAAUCAGUACCAAAGGAGCUUAAUGCCGCUAUAUCCACACCAGGGCAAACCAGGGCUCAUCCCUGGGAAUCCUUCCGUCUUUCAACAUCUGACCAACCCCACUUGGACUGCCACAGUCUCUCUUAAAUCAUGCUCAUAUGUUCAAUCUGCCUGGCAAGCCUAUAGUCAUUCUUUCUCUGCUCCAUUUAACUCGCUCUCAGAGGGCAAAUCACAUAUCCUAUCCCUUGUUCCCAAGUUCUUAGGGGAUGCAUCACUGAAUCCCAAGUACUGAGAGUAAUCGAAAACCGCUUAAUUAUUAAAUUCUAUGGCACCCACGAGAACUCAUAACAUCCAAAUUAAAUGCUAUGAAUUUCUUCCAGUGAAUUCUAGCAUCAAAAAAUCAUUUACUGUAGUAAAAUAACAUAUUCAACAGUUUCCAACGAUGAGAAUAUAUCAAUGAUAUUUUCAAUUAAGGUGAACACGGAGAUCCGAUACUUUAAGAUGGGUUCUUUAAGUCCAUAUUAUUUUGAUUACAAGGAGUUGUUGAUGUUCACUUCAAUUCAUAGGACAAAAGU